GUAUAAUCAUGGAUGAAUGUUUAUGUAAUGUUUUAUUUUCUGUGUCGGACCCCAGGAAGACUAGCGUUGUCUUGACAAAAGCUAAUGGGGAUCCUAAUAAACAAUAAACCCCCAAAACACAGAACACUGUCUAAAAAUUAACUUUAAACACGAUCUGAUUUGGUUAUUUCCUUUUUUAGAGACAAGACUGGUGUUAAAAUUAGCUGGACUCAUAAACUUCAUACCACCCCAGCAGUGUCAGAGCUGAGGUUGGGCCACCUCAGUUUAAAAUGUCUGGCACGCCCCUGGUUAUGUGUUCAUACCUCAGUGAAACGACAGUGAAAGACUGGGGCUCAACUCGCAUGUAACAGUUAGACAUCAUAAGGGUUUAUGUCCAUGUCGAGCACCACCCUCUCCAAGUAAAUUAAUGUGGGUG